GCGCACCAGGCGCGAAAACUCCGCAAUACGCGAAAGCGUGACGGGGCUACCCCGAGUGUCGUCCGCUGAGGACGACUUUUCCACGCUGUAGGGAGGCGUGGGAAUAAGGAGAGGGCAAGUCUGGUGUCAGCCGCCGCGGUAAUACCAGCUCUCCGAGUGGUAGGGAUGAUUAUUGGGCUUAAAGCGUCCGUAGCUGGCCUUUCAAGUCUCUUGUUAAAUCCAGCGAUUCAAUCGUUGGACUGCGGGAGAUACUGUUAGGCUAGGGGGCGGGAGAGGCCGACGGUAUUCUCGGGGUAGGGGUGAAAUCCUAUAAUCCCGGGAAGACCACCAGUGGCGAAGGCUGUCGGCUAGAACGCGCCCGACGGUGAGGGAUGAAAGCUGGGGGAGCGAACCGGAUUAGAUACCCGGGUAGUCC
rnacentral:rRNA from 1 species